ensembl:rRNA 5S_rRNA 5S ribosomal RNA
GCUUACGGCCAUAUACCACCUUAGGCACGCCCGAUCUCGUCUGAUCUCGGAAGCUAAGCAGGGUCGGGCCUGGUUAGUACUUGGAUGGGUGACCGCCUGGGAAUACCAGGUGCUGUAAGCA